AGUCAUCAGCCCCUCUGGUUUUUCGAAGCCGGAGAAGGUUGGAUAUGGGGGCUUGCUGCCGCGAGGCUGCUCCCCUCAAAUGUGUCGGUUGGACCUGUGGGUCGAACUCGUUGGGCGUUGUAUCAUCCUCGCUCUGACAGAGACGUUCCCCUUUUGCUGUCCUCCCAAGACUCGCCUGUAGAGUGGCAGUCAACUCUUUGAA
rnacentral:misc_RNA from 1 species